rnacentral:ncRNA from 1 species
UCUAUGGAAGCCAUGAGAGAAAGUUAGCACUUCUCUUGAUAAAGAUGGAAGAGGUCCUAGUGGCCUUUACAACACAUUCAACCAACUCUGUGGCAGUGGGCAGAACCAGAUCAUUGU